rnacentral:rRNA from 1 species
AUUAAACGCUGGCGGCAUGCCUUACACAUGCAAGUCGAACGGCAGCACGGGGGCAACCCUGGUGGCGAGUGGCGAACGGGUGAGUAAAGCAUCGGAACGUGCCCUGGAGUGGGGGAUAACGUAGCGAAAGUUACGCUAAUACCGCAUAUUCUGUGAGCAGGAAAGCAGGGGGAUCGCAAGACCUUGCGCUCUGGGAGCGGCCGAUGUCGGAUUAGCUAGUUGGUGGGGUAAAGGCCUACCAAGGCGACGAUCCGUAGCGGGUCUGAGAGGAUGAUCCGCCACACUGGGACUGAGACACGGCCCAGACUCCUACGGGAGGCAGCAGUGGGGAAUUUUGGACAAUGGGCGCAAGCCUGAUCCAGCCACGCCGCGUGAGUGAUGAAGGCCCUCGGGUUGUAAAGGACUUUUGUCAGGGAGCAAAUCCUAACAGCUAAUAUCUGUUGGGGAUGAGAGUACCUGAAGAAUAAGCACCGGCUAACUACGUGCCAG